CCCAGGGCAGACAGAUAAAGCUUCAUUUCAUGAGCAGGAAUAGAAAAACUCUCUUCAGCCCCUGCUUGCUCUUUCCUGCCCUAGGUCAUUUUGCUUCAAAUGAGGGCAGGGGGAAUAAGGUUAAAAUGCAAAGGCUGGCCAGGAUGUCUGCCCUGGUUGGAAUAGCGUUUCUUGCAGCUCUAAGCUAGUAGUAUGUAGUCACCUCCAGGUCCCCCCCGCUGAGCUGCAAUAACACAAGAUGAGAGGCAACCUCAAGUUGUGCCAGGGGAGGUUCAGGCUGGAUAACAUAAAGAAUUUCUUCUCACGGAGAGUGGUGAGGCACUGGCAUGGGCUGCCCAGGGAGGUAGACUCUACUACUCUACUGUCCCUGGAGGUGUUCAAGAAGCGUGUGGAUGUGGCACUGAGAGAUGUGGUUAGUGGGAAUGGUGGAGGUGGGUUGGUGGUUGGACUAGGAGAUCUUAGAGGUGUUUUCCAACCUUAAUGAUUCUGUCUUUCUAUGAACACUAGGUGUCCCACUGCAGGUGCUACCAAGUGCUAUCUCUUUACCGGGCCUCCAGCCUGCUUGUGUCUGCAUACAAGCACUUGGACCGUGAUGCCCAGUCUUAUAGGGUGACCAGACACAGGCAGUGCUUCUAGGAGCUGCUGGCUCAGCCGUGAUCCCUGUGGUUGUGCAAGCCCUCAGACUUGGCUGGGACUUGCUGGGGGAAUCUGCCUGCUUAGGAGCACUGCAGCUUUCUUACCACAGCUUCAGGUAAGAAAAUAGGCGAGCUUCAACAGAGGAGGAAGAUCAAGGUAAGAAGCAGAGCAUUACUCUUGCCAUCCUGAGCACUGGUAUUUCUAAAUCACAUACUUUGUCAUGCCAUGAAACCUUAUCAGAAGCUGCACAUAACUAACCACAGAAUCUAGAUUCAUUGGCUUGAAUUUUAUUGUAAGAGAUACCAGGAGCAUGAAAGACACCCUGUUGCUAUCACCUAUAGAUAAAUUCCUUGAUGUUUUUCAUCAUGAAAUUCUGCUUCCUCUUGCUUAUGUAGCUUUGCCAUCUGUCUCGAUUUGACUGUUUCAGUGCUUGAUGUUUUCAGCCAGAGCAAGAUCCAGGAGACAAGUGAAAAUAUAAGCAACCCAUCCUUCAUUUCAGAGCAGAAGCUCUCAAAGUUUGCAAAGUUGCAAAGUUUGCAAAGGAAGACUUGACGAUACAGUGGGAAAGCUAAACCACCUGAACAGGCAAAUGCAGGCACCUGCUUUUACUGUUAUUUGAAAAAUCCUGGUUUUACAGCUAAUCUGUGAGGCUUUUUGUGCAUGGCUUGAUUUGUAGUUUCUUAAUGAUUGGGACUGGCAGCAUUGUUUAUAGCCCUGACAGACUAUUAACAAUGAAACAUUAUAUUUUUUUCCCCAUCUAGUCUCUGUCUCAAAGCAAACUAUCCUGGAAGCACUCAAUUUGGUGCCUUGGUCAUUUCAGUGAAUGAAAUUAAGGGAAAAUGAUAUAUCUGAACAUCCUCAAAAUUGCAGUCAUUUCUUUGGGAAGAUCUAGCACAGCACACUCUCAAACAGAAACUUGGAAUUCUGAAGGGCAGGGAGGUGCCUUAAGCCAGAUUCUAAUGUUUCUGAAAAUGUUUGUUAACAGAUAGAUGCUUCUUUAGUCUUUGCCACACACAGUCCCCUCAGCUUCCAUAUGCAAUUACUGUGCUUCAGCCUCUCCCUUCAACAGAUCGUGACCAGAUCACGGAUGGAGAAGAGACCCCAAGCCAGUGGAUUAGGGCUGAAUCUCAUUGUAGCCGUUUUUUCUUUGGCUGGGAGUGAAAGGAACCAUCAUCUUUGCACUUCUUCAUAGCUGAGAAUGCAGAACAGCUCUGUGCAAUGCAGUGUUGAGUUCUCCUCACUGGAUGUUCCCAGACUUCCACAUGCAGAUGAGCCAUGGACACCAAUCCAUGUUCUGUUGUUCCCUGUCAAGCCUCUGAGACAUGAGGAUGCCAGAAAUCUGCAGAAGUUUCCAAUGGCCCACCAAGCCCGUGGGUGCAGAACAGAUCUGAGUGUUUCCACUCCUCCAACUCCCCUUUCUGUCAAGCUCUAAAAUGACAAUCUGAGAACCUCUCCUCAAUCCAGAUCUCUGGCCAACACAACCAGCUGUUUUUGGCAAGGAAGAACAACGGGAGCAAAGUCAGCUGUCAGAGAGGAGCUGGAAGACAGAUUGCUCUGACUGCACAGGUGGUAUUUUCAGCUAUGCUGUGGCUGAUGAUUUGUUAGGAAGGCCGAAUAGCCAUCACUGUAACACCCUUACACAACUCACUCCUUCCUCUGCUUCAAGAAGCGAAGGCAAAAACUCCAAUGGAUUUCAAGAGAAGCAGGAUUGGGCCCUUAGGCUGUACAUAAGAGUCUGUGUUGGAAAAGAGAAUGUACAAUGUUGGAUGCUUCUUAUAAUACAAGAUUAGAUCAAAUCCUUUCAGUGCCCUGAAGCUUUAUACCUUAAUGCUGGGCUACCUGUGGCAGAUAGCAAGCGAAUGCCUGUCAGCAUGGAUCAUCCUCUCAGUGUUCACUAAAAAUGUACAAUUCUCAUUUUGCAGCGUUUGAGAUCUUUUAAAAAAUGGAGUCAGGUGGGAAUAGAAUGUAACAUCAAGACAAGUAGCUUCAAUUUUUACCUGAUCAUUGGCACAUUCCAAGUAUUUUCUUUAUAGUGAUGCCUGACAAGCAAUCAAUGGGCAUCCAGACAAUCAGUUAGUUUAAAGUAGUCUUCUCAUCACGGUGAAUGUAAAUUGUAGGUAGCUUGUCUGAGGGAAUGGUUUGCCAGGCAAAGAAACUGCUGUUUUCAACAAAGGCAAAAAAUACACUGAUGUUUAUAACAUGAAAUAAUUCCUCCUGUUGCAUCUGUAAUAUGCUCAUGAAGGAAGUGUUCUGGCUGGAGUGUGACCUUGCCCUGUGUGUGCUCAGUGGCCGUUGUGUCUCAUGCUGUCCUGCCUGGAUGCCCUCACCAGCCCUUUUUCUUCCAGCAGAGGGUAAAUCUCACAGGUGUUGGGCUGAGGUUAUGGGGGUGAAGCUUGAGGACCUCUGGCUUUCUGCUCUAUGUUUUUUGUAGAGUUGCACGGAAAUGAAAUGGGACAGAACAUUUCCACUCCAUACUUUUGUAACUGGAAUUUUGAGCCAUGCUGGUUUUUUUUUUUUUCUUUCUUUUUUUCUUUCUUUCUUUCUUUUUUUUUUUUUUUAAAUUAAAAGCUCCUUUUUACAUAAGUAAUACACAAUAAGUUGGUGAACACCAAUUAAAAUCAUAUUUCACAAAAUUAGACUUUCAGUUGCCUGUUCUAUUGAAUAUCAGUCAGUAAUAAGGUUUCCUCAUUUCCCUGAGCAUGUAAUUUUUCCCAUGAAUUCUUGAGUCACUGCUUUGAUCACUUCUUGAUUGCUUAAAGGCUGUGAGUCAGUAAUAUUUCCCAGUUUUGUUGUCACAUCAAAGAUCUUUGAGGGGCUUUCUCCAACAGAAGGCAGCCAAGGUUCCUGGUUGACAUAGUUCAUCACCAUGCUGAAGCUAUGCUGCACAAAUGAAAAUAGGGAAUAAUGCAUCACCUUUAGCCAUUCGUGUAAUCAUUUGAAUAAUAUGUAUCACCUUCUUAAAUGGGCCAGCUGCUACACAGCACUUUUUUUUUGCUUGAAUUUUUACACUUGAAAAUGUGGAGGGCAAACAUUAAACAGGAAAGGUGAUUUUAUCCAGACAUGCUGAUGAAUGAAAGCAAAGGCAGUGGCUUUCUUCUGUGUGCAGAUUUUUGCAGUUGCUUUAUUCAGGCAUUACGAGAUGAACAAUUCUGGCACUCAAA